CUAAGAAUCUUGCGCAAUGGGCGAAAGCCUGACGCAGCAACGCCGCGUGGAGGACGAAGGCCUUCGGGUCGUAAACUCCUUUUGCGAGGGAAGAAGAUCUGACGGUACCUCGCGAAUAAGCCACGGCUAACUACGUGCCAGCAGCCGCGGUAAUACGUAGGUGGCAAGCGUUGUCCGGAUUUACUGGGCGUAAAGAGCCCGCAGGCGGUCCAAUAAGUUCUUGGUGAAAUCUCCUGGCUCAACUGGGAGGGUGCCUGGAAAACUGUUGGACUUGAGGCAGGGAGAGGGAUGUGGAAUUCCCGGUGUAGUGGUGAAAUGCGUAGAUAUCGGGAGGAACACCAGUGGCGAAGGCGGCAUCCUGGCCCUGUCCUGACGCUCAGGGGCGAAAGCGUGGUGAGCAAACCGGAUUAGAUACCCCCGUAGUCCCUGAGCGGGCUGGCAAGGCGCAU
rnacentral:rRNA from 1 species